rnacentral:SRP_RNA from 1 species
AGCCAGGAACCAUGCGAACAGGCGCCGCCCAACCCCGCCAGGCCCGGAAGGGAGCAACGGUAAGCGGAUGCCUGCUGCGCCGUGAUCAUCCUGGUUUCG